ensembl:lncRNA
AUGUAGGAAAGGGAGAGAGUCGCCAUGUGAUCCCAGAAGAGAGGACACAUAAGGCCGGCGUCCUGGCACUGCUGCAGUGAGGUUGGAGAUGGAGACAGACGAAUCCCCGGAAGUUCAUGAGCCAGCUAGCCUGGGGUACAUAGCAGCGAAUGGUAAAGAGAUCCCAACUCUAAACAAGAAAAAAAUGAAGACAAGACCAGGCCGUGUCUUCAACUGAAGAAAGGAAGAGAAGCUGCAAGCAGAGGCAUGUCUUAGAAACUCUGAUCUGCCACAGUCAUUACUACAGUCAGGGUGUGUUUGGAAGAGCUGAGCUCACUGGAGCAGGAAAUAGAAUGGUGCUUCUGGAGAGGUGGACAGCAACUCUUGAGUUUCAGUUUUGCCAGCUGGAAAGGUCCUAGAGAGCUGGAGCACUAUGUGACACCUGUACUUAACAACACUGCAUUGUGCCCCUCAAGAAACGAAAUCUGAGGCUAUAUCUCAUGUUAAGGUUCUGACCACAGAAAUGGAAACUAAAGCAAGUGGCACCAGGGAACCUUUGACAGUGAUGGACAAGUUAACGUGGCUGGUGGUACAGUUCCAUAGCUCCUGCACCCAACACAGCCUGAUCUAAAUAGGGGCUCACAGAACAUUGGAAUGAGGGUAAAAACUUCAUCUAUAAACCAAGUUCCCAGUUUGGCCUCUGUGAUGGCUACUCUUGGUUGUCAAUGUGAUUAUAUCUGGAAUGAACUACAAUCCAGUAGUGGAUAGCACACCUGUGAUUGGAUCUUGAGGCAGGAAGACAACACACCUUUGAUCCGGAUCUUGAGGCAGGAAGGCAUACCUUUAAUCUGGGCACACCUUCCGAUGGAAGCCUCUAUAAAGAUGUGCUUGGCCGCAUCUUGUCAGCGCAUCCAUUCCUUCACUGGCAUUGAGCCUAUUUCUUCAGGAUCCAGCAUCUACAGAAGACCAGCUGAGAUACCAGGCCUCAUGGGACUGGGAACUACUAGAGUCUUGAACUUUCCAUUCACAGCUAGCCAUUGUGGGCUUGCAGCCUGUAAGUCAUUCCAAUAAAUGGAGAGAGAGAGAGAGAGAGAGAGAGAGAGAGAGAGAGAGAGAGAGAGAGAGAGUCAUUCGGUAAGUGACGCUAGAGAACCCUGGCUACACCCUCUGAGCUUACUUCCCCAUCCAUCGCCAGUGGCUAUUGCUGCUCUCACCAGCAGGCAUUAUGACAACCCAUGCAAUGGCUCAGUGAACAAGAGCUCCGACUGUGGACAUGAGCGGUUCAGAGGAACAAGCACGUCACACUGGUCUCCAGCUUCAUGGGAAAAUCCUGGCACCAGCAUGGAAGUAGUUUAACUGCUCUUCUGCGCUGAGAAAAAUGUCAGCAGCCAGCUGCUCACCAGGUCCAGAGGAUAAUUUUGCAAGGUUGCUUGGGUGAGUGGGGAGUUCGGCCCCUUGGAGGGAGAUAGAGGUUUAGAAUAUGCUCGGCUCCUAGGUGAUGAGUCUGAACCCUGGUAAGAAGCAGGGCUGAACACAGGAGAGGCAGGGUUUCCUUGGAGGUUAGAAACCCUUGUUACUAGAAACCUUCAUGCAGUCAGGGAAAUGCUUGGGGUGGGGAGGUGAUGGACAGCUCUGCAUUCUACCCUUGAAUUCUCCAGGUCUCACCAGCCCACGGGGCAGGGCAUCUUCUAGGCUGGCCACUGUCCUCAAGCCAUGCACAAACUGGCCCUAACUUCCUAACAUGCAUAGAAGGAAAGCAAGACUCUGUAGGUUCCCACCCCUUGUCCCUGUCACCCACUAACAGUAGCAGUAGUGCUGUGACAAACAGCACUGAUCUGGCCUGUGCCCUGUCACUGACUCCUGGUGACCCUUCUCUAAGGCAAAUGUCACUCUUCCCAUUGUGCCUUUGCGAAAACAGACUUAGGGAGUCAUUUGCCCAAGCCCUGCAAGCCAGUAAACAGUAGUGUCUAGAUGCUAAGCUUGGUGUGGACUUGGUUUGACCUGGUCUCACUGUGCAGCUGCCUCAGUAUUGACACUGAAGGGUUCAGAACACGCUACCUACAAAUAUGGCCCUGAUGAUUGUAAGGUGAAAGCUGUUGAGAAAUGUCCUAUGUAGGAAAGACUUUGUUGUUCUCCUGAAGCAGCUCACAGAAGUUCCCCAUGAGAGGACCCUUCCCUGCCUCUCUUCUCCUUGGAAGACACAGGGACACUGAGAGGAGCCUGAAUGGACAAGCCUGAUGACAUUUCCCCACUGUGACACUUAGCUAAACACCCAUCACUCUCUUCCACUCCCCACCCUCUCCUGAAUUCAGCGUACAAUGCAUGCCUGCUUCUUCAGCUCUUCAUUUCCUUACCCAGACUCCCCAUGUCACAAAAAUGUAUAUAUACAAUUUAUAUAAAAUUAGUAUGCAUGUUUCCCUUGUUACUCUGUCUUCUGUUAUGAGGAAUUGAGAACUUAAAAAAUUAGAAGGAAAAUCUAUCUUUCAAGUCAGGUAUGAGGCACACACCUGUAAUCCCAGCACUUAGGAAACAGAGGCAGGAGGAUCCUGAGCCAGCCUGGGCUACAUAGUGAGGGUCUGUCUUAAAAUACCAAGAAAGGCCAGGCAUGAUGGGGG